CUUUCCAGAGAUGGAUUGGUGCCUUCGGGAACUCUGAGACAGGUGCUGCAUGGCUGUCGUCAGCUCGUGUUGUGAAAUGUUGGGUUAAGUCCCGCAACGAGCGCAACCCUUAUCCUUUGUUGCCAGCGGUUAGGCCGGGAACUCAAAGGAGACUGCCAGUGAUAAACUGGAGGAAGGUGGGGAUGACGUCAAGUCAUCAUGGCCCUUACGAGUAGGGCUACACACGUGCUACAAUGGCGCAUACAAAGAGAAGCGACCUCGCGAGAGCAAGCGGACCUCAUGAAGUGCGUCGUAGUCCGGAUUGGAGUCUGCAACUCGACUCCAUGAAGUCGGAAUCGCUAGUAAUCGUGGAUCAGAAUGCCACGGUGAAUACGUUCCCGGGCCUUGUACACACCGCCCGUCACACCAUGGGAGUGGGUUGCAAAAGAAGUAGGUAGCUUAACCUUCGGGAGGGCGCUUACCACUUUGUGAUUCAUGACUGGGGUGAAGUCGUAACAAGGUAGGCGUAGUGCU
rnacentral:rRNA from 1 species